UACGAAGGGGGCUAGCGUUGUUCGGAAUCACUGGGCGUAAAGCGCACGUAGGCGGAUCUUUAAGUCAGGGGCGAAAUCCCGAGGCUCAACCUCGGAACUGCCUUUGAUACUGGGGAUCUCGAGUCCGGGAGAGGUGAGUGGAACUGCGAGUGUAGAGGUGAAAUUCGUAGAUAUUCGCAAGAACACCAGUGGCGAAGGCGGCUCACUGGCCCGGAACUGACGCUGAGGUGCGAAAGCGUGGGGAGCAAACAGG
rnacentral:rRNA from 1 species